rnacentral:rRNA from 1 species
CCUACGGGUGGCAGCAGUGGGGAAUUUUGCACAAUGGGGGAAACCCUGAUGGAGCGAUGCCGCGUGAGUGAAGAAGUAAUUCGUGACGUAAAGCUCUAUUAUCAGAGAAGAAAAUGACGGUACCUGAGUAAGAAGCCCCUGCUAACUACGUGCGAGGAGGCGGGGGAAUACGGUGGGGGCAAGCGUUAGCCGGUUUUGCUGGGUGGAAAGUGAGCGUAGACGGCAGGGCAAGUCGGGAGGGAAAGGCGGGGGGUCAAACCCCGGACUGCUCUGGAAACUGUACGGCUGGAGUGCAGGAGAGGUCAGUGGAAUUCCAGGUGUAGCGGUAAAAUGCGUAGAUAUAAGGAGGAACACCAGUGGCGAAGGCGGCUUACUGGCCUGUAACUGACGUUGAGGCACGAAAGCGUGGGGAGCAAACAGGAUUAGAUACCCUUGUAGUC